rnacentral:rRNA from 1 species
UUAUACCUAUUCGAAGGGAUAGGGUCGGUUCGGCCGGGUUUCACAGCAGGUGUUGCAUGGCUGUCGUCAGCUCGUGUCGUGAGAUGUUGGGUUAAGUCCCGCAACGAGCGCAACCCUCAUCCUAUAGUUACCAUCAGGUAAUGCUGGGGACUUUAAGGAGACUGCCAGUGAUAAACUGGAGGAAGGUGGGGAUGAUGUCAAGUCAUCAUGGCCCUUAUGGAGUGGGCUACACACGUGCUACAAUGGUGGCUACAAUGGGCUGCAAAGUCGCGAGGCUAAGCCAAUCCCUUAAAAGCCAUCUCAGUUCGGAUUGUACUCUGCAACUCGAGUGCAUGAAGUUGGAAUCGCUAGUAAUCGUGGAUCAGCACGCCACGGUGAAUACGUUCUCGGGUCUUGUACACACUGCCCGUCACGCCAUGGGAAUUGGUUUC